GGCUCGGUGGCGGAGGGUUCGCAGCUGCUUACGAUGUAUGUACGUAUUCUAACCUCUAAUCACGCAGAGCACGCCUGUUCGACUCAGGCCCGAGCCA